rnacentral:misc_RNA from 1 species
AACAAGGCGUACCUGCGGACCUGCGGAAGGAUCAUUACACAACAAAAUAUGAAGGCCUGGCUUCGCGGCCGGCUGAAGUAUUUUUUUUUUCACCCAUGUCUUUUGCGCACUUGUUGUUUCCUGGGCGGGUUCGCCCGCCACCAGGACCAAACCAUAAACCUUUUUUUUUAUGUAGUUGCAAUCAGCGUCAGUAAAAACAAUGUAAUUAUUACAACUUUUAACAAUGGAUCUCAGAUCGGA